rnacentral:rRNA from 1 species
UACGGAGGGUGCAAGCGUUAUCCGGAUUCACUGGGUUUAAAGGGUGCGUAGGCGGGCAGGUAAGUCAGUGGUGAAAUCUUCGAGCUUAACUCGGAAACUGCCUUUGAUACUAUCUGUCUGAAUAUUGUGGAGGUAAGCGGAAUAUGUCAUGUAGCGGUGAAAUGCUUAGAGAUGACAUAGAACACCCAUGCAAGGCAGCUUACUACGCAUAUAUUGACGCUGAGGCACGAAAGCGUGGGGAUCAAACAGG